AAGAGGACUGUGAGGGGGACCAGGUAAUAUACCACCGAAGUGUGUUUCUCUGGUUCACUUCUCUCUUUGACGGAACCCCGUCAAAGAGGACUGUGAGGGGGACCAGGUAAUAUACCACCGAAGUGUGUUUCUCUGGUUCACUUCUCUCUUUGACGGAACCCCGUCAAAGAGGACUGUGAGGGGGACCAGGUAAUAUACCACCGAAGUGUGUUUCUCUGGUUCACUUCUCUCUUUGACGGAACCCCGUCUCUAGAUAU
rnacentral:sRNA from 1 species